AGCCCCAGUGAUAAACCUUUUUGCAAUAAAGAAAAAAAAAAAAAAAAGAGUUCCAAGAAAGACUUUCAUGCUAGUUUCUGAUGGGUUGAUUGCUUCCUAUUUUGCUCCUAAGACAGUUAACAGGAAUUAAGAUGUCUACCAACCAAGAAAAUGCCAUCCUUCAUGUCCUCACGUGUAUGUAGGUAACAUAGCCACACUAACGCAAGGAUGACACUAUUACUGGUGUGUGUGUGUGUGUGUGUGUGUGUGUGUAUGUAAGAGAGAGAGAGGUAACUACUGUUGGAAUUUCACGUAUCUAUGUAGGCUUUAGUGUUUUUUGGUUUUUUUUUUUUUUUUUUUGCCUCCAGGGUUAUCGCUGGGGCUUUGUGCCUGCACCAUGAAUCCACUGCUCCCGGAGGCUGUUUUUUCCCCUUUUGUUGCCUUUUUUUUUUAAAUCAUUGUUGUGAUCAUUAUUGUUGUUGUUAUUGGUGUCAUUGUUGGUGGAUAGGACAGAGAGAAAUUGAGAGAGAAGGGGAGACAGAGAGGGGGAGAGAAAGAUAGACACCUGCAGACCUGCUUCACCUGUGUAGCGACUCCCCGGCUUUUGGGGAGCUGGGGGCUUGAACCAGGAUCCUUGCACUUUGUACCAUGUGCACUUAACCCACUGUGCUACCACCUGACCCCCUAGCUUUUGUUUCUUUUAUUUUCAUUUUGUGGUGCCAGAGAAUGAACUCAAAACCUCAUACAUGUGUCAUACUACUGCGAGGCCUCCCUGACCCAAUUUUCUUGUCUUUAUUUUCUGAGAGAGCACAGCCCCACUCCACCAUCUACAGAGCAUCUCUACCACCUUCAAGGUUCACCUGUACAAUUCUGGGCCUUACACACAGUGGUGUGUACACUCCAUCAGCCCUCCUUGACAUCUUAUUUGCUGGCAGACAUUCCCGGGUCGUGAUUUCCAGCGUGCACACACAGUGACAAAGACAUGCGCAAACACACUCAGAGAAACACUGUGAGACAGUAAAAUCCCACACACAGGGACACAUCACACCUGAGUGUGUGUAGAUUCUACAGGAUUGGGUGUAGGAUGGGAUGGGGGAAUCUAGAAAGAGCUGUCAAUGCAAAUAGCUUUGAAAUGAGUCCUAGUCAUCUUCCAACAAGGUCACUCUGAAAAAACCCUACUGUUACUAUCUCCCCCAAAGUUUUUCCUCCUCCUCCUCCUCUUCCUUCUCCUCCUCCUCCUCCUCUUCCUCCUUCUCUUCCUCCUCCUUCUCCUCCUCCUCUUCCUCCUCCUCCUCUUCCUCUUUCUCCCCACCAGAAUAAUUUCUGGGGUUGGUGCCUGCUUGGCUCCACCAUUCCCAGUGACAAUAUUUCCACUUAUUAUUUUUCCUACUUUUUGAUGAAAGUCGAGAGACAAAGAGAUAUAGACAGGAAGACAGGGAGAGGGAGAGAGAUCAGAGCCCUGUUCAGUCCUGGCAUAUGGUGGAGGUGGGGAAUGAACCUGGGACCUCUGGGUCCACAGAAAUGAAAGACUGGUGCUCUUCUUCCACACUGUUUCCCUGAUCCUUACCCAGAUUCAGAGAGGACAGUUCCCAGGUGACCUCGGAAACCCAGUUGGCAAUAAAUUGGUGAAUUUA